GAGGGAGAAAAGAAGGACAAGGAAGAUAAGAGGAUCAAGAGGAUGAAGAGGAGAGAUAAAGAGAAGGAGAGAGAGGGUUGAAGAUCAUUGGUAAAUUACACCAAUUCAUUCAUUUAAAAAUUUUCCCUAUGGAGUAAUGUUUAUGGUGAUAUAUAACUAAAUGAAUAUAGAUUAUAUUUGAGACAUCAAAGGACACCAGUGUGUGCUGCAUUAGUGGAGAUUUUAUUCAUUGGAAAAAGACAUAAGCCAACUCAGGCUUUCAGCAAACAUUUGAAAAGACUGGCACAAAGAUUUGGAGGCAACGGCUUAAAACAGGACUUAGAACCAAAACAGGUGUGCAGAUA
rnacentral:lncRNA from 1 species